rnacentral:lncRNA from 1 species
UUCCAAUUUCGUGGACCGCUUGUGUGUAUGAACUGGGGAAGGGUUACAUAUUACAGACAAAGAUCAUAAAACAAACAUUGCUUAGUCACGAACAGUAAUGGUGAUGGAGGUGGUGUUUGGGUGAUGAUGCUAUUAUAAUUGAACUGUAAGGUCUGCCCUGAUCGAGGGAAAAAACUUUUCCUACAGGUUUCCCACUAUAUGACUAUAUGUGACAGAUCUAUUUUCAUAGUUAUACCAUGUCUCUUUCAAGAUGAGGACCAUGCAGCACACUAUGACAUAAAGUGAUGAAUCGUAUGACAUUCUGGACAUAUUGCACCUUCACUGUCCAGUCUAUUUCUGAACGCCAGUACGUUCUGGUGACGGUCACAACUGAGGUGAUCGUGAUGGACUCAAAGCGCAGCAGUUGCUGCUCCUCUGCAUUUGUUGGUGAUGUGUAUCCCAAGUGCUUUGAACUACUGAGGAUUAUUGAUAUUAAAGCUAUUUCUGCAUCUGUGUUCCAUAUGUUUCCUUAUCUGAGUUGGAAAGAUAAUGGUUUUGGAAUCGCCCAAAAACUCUAACCUUAAACACUGGGUGUACGUAUUCUUUACUUUUGUCAACAAGUGGCAACGAACUACGUCCGUCACAUGUCGAGGCUGUCCUUAAAGUUUUGGUAUUUUCGUUUCGUUAUGAAGGAGUCUGUGGGUUUGGUGGUACGCGAAUCGGGGACGUGCGAUACAAGUAUAUAUCGAUACAAGUAUAUAUCGUGUAUGCGCCAGUCAGCUCGUAGGAUCGACUGCCUACGUCU